rnacentral:rRNA from 1 species
UGGGGAAUAUUGGACAAUGGGGGGAACCCUGAUCCAGCCAUGCCGCGUGUGUGAAGAAGGCCUUAUGGUUGUAAAGCACUUUAAGCGAGGAGGAGGGUACUGGUAUUAAUACUACCAGGUACUGGACGUUACUCGCAGAAUAAGCACCGGCUAACUCUGUGCCAGCAGCCGCGGUAAUACAGAGGGUGCGAGCGUUAAUCGGAUUUACUGGGCGUAAAUCGUGCGUAGGCGGCUAAUUGAGUCGGAUGUGAAAUCCCCGAGCUUAACUUGGGAAUUGCAUUCGAUACUGGUUAGCUAGAGUGUGGGAGAGGAUGGUAGAAUUCCAGGUGUAGCGGUGAAAUGCGUAGAGAUCUGGAGGAAUACCGAUGGCGAAGGCAGCCAUCUGGCCUAACACUGACGCUGAGGUACGAAAGCAUGGGGAGCAAACAGG